AAGGAAGGAAGAGAAGAAGAACCCAUGGAAGGGAGGAGAACCCAUGAAGAUGCCAGCAGAGCUCCCAAGGGUAAAACCUGGAUUUACGGCUUCCCUACUAGAGACCACAUAUCCCAGAACCCCUCGCAGCCAGGUGGAGCAGCUGAACCAAUAGCCUAAAGGAGAAGCCACUUUCCUGAUUUUCCACAGCAGAUGAGCAGGAGCAUGUUAGAAGGAAAAAGGACUAAUAAGAAAGCAAGUACAGUGAAAAGGGCAAAAGUCAAGAGCAAGAGAAGAGAGAACAAUGAUAAACAAACAAACAAAAAAACAAAAAAACAAACUUGAC